UAGCGGUUUCAACGCAUGCAGAUUCAUUUUCUGCCACCGAAUACAUUAGCAUGGGAUAAUGGAAUAGGACCCUGUCCUCCUAUUUUCAGUUGGUUUUGGCAGCGCGAGGACUAGGGUAAUGAUUAAUAGGGAUAGUUGGGGGCAUUAAUAUUUAAUUGUCAGAGGUGAAAUUCUUGGAUUUAUGAAAGAUUAACUUCUGCGAAAGCAUCUGCCAAGGAUGUUUUCAUUAAUCAAGAACGAAAGUUAGGGGAUCGAAGACGAUCAGAUACCGUCGUAGUCUUAACCAUAAACGAUGCCGACCAGCGAUUAGGAGACGUUGAAUACAAAACACCACCAUCGGCGCGGUCGUCCUUGGCGUUCGUGUUCACGCACGGGCGCGAGGGCGGUUUAGCCCGGUGGCACCGGUGAAUGACUCCCCUAGCAGCUUGUGAGAAA
rnacentral:rRNA from 1 species